CUUCAGGAGGUACCCACUCUCCAGGGACUGGAAUCUAGUAAUGCUAGUCAUCAUGCCAUGCUUCCUGGGUUAUUGCAAUUCUUCCAUAAGCCCACAGCAGUAUCCUUCAGGCUAACUCUCAGGCUGCCCUGGCUACUCCACCAGAGGGAAAUAAAUUCUUUCCCCAUUGCAACUGCCUCAUCUCAACUUCCUAUGGAGCACUUACCUAGUAAUCCUGCUGUCUGUCACGUGUA
rnacentral:lncRNA from 1 species